rnacentral:rRNA from 1 species
GAUGAACGCUGGCGGCGUGCUUAACACAUGCAAGUCGAACGAAACACCUUAUUUGAUUUUCUUCGGAACUGAAGAUUUGGUGAUUGAGUGGCGGACGGGUGAGUAACGCGUGGGUAACCUGCCCUGUACAGGGGGAUAACAGUCAGAAAUGACUGCUAAUACCGCAUAAGACCACAGCACCGCAUGGUGCAGGGGUAAAAACUCCGGUGGUACAGGAUGGACCCGCGUCUGAUUAGCUGGUUGGUGAGGUAACGGCUCACCAAGGCGACGAUCAGUAGCCGGCUUGAGAGAGUGAACGGCCACAUUGGGACUGAGACACGGCCCAAACUCCUACGGGAAGCAGCAGUGGGGAAUAUUGCACAAUGGGGGAAACCCUGAUGCAGCGACGCCGCGUGAGUGAAGAAGUACUUCGGUAUGUAAAGCUCUAUCAGCAGGGAAGAAAAUGACGGUACCUGACUAAGAAGCCCCGGCUAACUACGUG